AGAGUUUGAUCUGGCUCAGGAUGAACGCUAGCGACAGGCUUAACACAUGCAAGUCGAGGGGCAGCGGGGGUGAUGGCUUGCCAUCACCUGCCGGCGACCGGCGCACGGGUGAGUAACACGUAUGCAACCUGCCCGCCACAGGGGGAUAAGCGGAAGAAAUUCCGUCUAAUACCGCGUGACGCGGCGUCGGGGCAUCCCGGUGCCGCCAAAGGGAUUACCGGUGGCGGAUGGGCAUGCGGCGCAUUAGCUAGUCGGCGGGGUAACGGCCCACCGAGGCGACGAUGCGUAGGGGUUCUGAGAGGAAGGUCCCCCACACUGGUACUGAGACACGGACCAGACUCCUACGGGAGGCAGCAGUGAGGAAUAUUGGUCAAUGGGCGGGAGCCUGAACCAGCCAAGUCGCGUGAGGGAUGACGGUCCUACGGAUUGUAAACCUCUUUUGCCGGGGAGCAAGCGUGCGUUCGUCAACGCGCGUCGAGAGUACCCGGAGAAAAAGCAUCGGCUAACUCCGUGCCAGCAGCCGCGGUAAUACGGAGGAUGCGAGCGUUAUCCGGAUUUAUUGGGUUUAAAGGGUGCGUAGGCGGGAUGCCAAGUCAGCGGUAAAAAUGCGGUGCUCAACGCCGUCGAGCCGUUGAAACUGGCGUUCUUGAGUGGGCGAGAAGUAUGCGGAAUGCGUGGUGUAGCGGUGAAAUGCAUAGAUAUCACGCAGAACUCCGAUUGCGAAGGCAGCAUACCGGCGCCCUACUGACGCUGAGGCACGAAAGCGUGGGUAUCGAACAGGAUUAGAUACCCUGGUAGUCCACGCAGUAAACGAUGAAUGCGAACUGUCCGGUGAGAGAGAGCGCUGGGCGGUACAGCGAAAAGCGUUAAGCAUUCCACCUGGGGAGUACGCCGGCAACGGUGAAACUCAAAGGAAUUGACGGGGGCCCGCACAAGCGGAGGAACAUGUGGUUUAAUUCGAUGAUACGCGAGGAACCUUACCCGGGCUCAAACGCAGGAUGACGGGUCCCGAAAGGGGCCUUUCUUCGGACAUUCUGCGAGGUGCUGCAUGGUUGUCGUCAGCUCGUGCCGUGAGGUGUCGGCUUAAGUGCCAUAACGAGCGCAACCCCUGUCCACAGUUGCCAGCAGGUAAAGCUGGGGACUCUGUGGAGACUGCCGGCGCAAGCUGCGAGGAAGGCGGGGAUGACGUCAAAUCAGCACGGCCCUUACGUCCGGGGCGACACACGUGUUACAAUGGCAGGUACAGCGGGAUGCCACGGGGCGACCCGGCGCUGAACCCGAAAACCUGUCUCAGUUCGGAUUGGAGUCUGCAACCCGACUCCAUGAAGCUGGAUUCGCUAGUAAUCGCGCAUCAGCCACGGCGCGGUGAAUACGUUCCCGGGCCUUGCACACACCGCCCGUCA
rnacentral:rRNA from 1 species